CCCUAGCAACCAGAUGUCUGAAAUUGAAAACUGGAGAGCUGCUGAAUAAAAAGCUACUAAUAAAUAAUAAAGCAUUAAAAACAGUUGCAAAUUAUCUCGGAACAUCACUCUAGACAUACUAAGCGUUAACAACCUUUUUAAAGGGAAACUAAGAAGCAACGAUAAAUAACUUGCACUGCUUUUCGGAAAGAUGUUAUCAACAAGUCUCCACGGUAGCUUAACUGAAUGUACAAUUUAGUUUUUAUUCAGUAGAAUUCAAUGCCUGCCUGUUCUAUUUCUCCAGGCUUGUGCAGCAUGUAAACAACGUGCAAAUAUUGCCCAAUAACAGGUCUGACAGGUACGUGACUUUGGCCUCAGUAAUAGAGUCACAUGAUCAUUAUCUCUCAUGAACAACUUGUUUUCUGUAGCCCCUUGGUUGUACUUGGUGAGAGGAAGCUCUUGUGUUGCACUAAACACAUGCACAUUCGCUUGUCACGUGUAAUAGCAUAUAUAUUCCCAAUAAGUCGUAUUUAGUGGACCCAAAUCCAGUCUCUUGGCACAUUUGUCUCCUGAUUUCUUAAAGGGACAUUAUACACAUUUAUGUAUGCUUGUUUAAUAUGAGCACAAUCGUUUCUAUUGAACAUGUAUUCUGCCUAUUUUUGUUUUAAAAAAAAAAAAAAUACAUAUUUUCCUGUUGUAAACUA